CAAACUGCUGCCCUUUGUAAAGACUUAAUGGGGAUCAAUUCAAGUAAAGUUAGACACUUGUAGAAUUCAGCCACUGGAAAAUCGCUCACCCACACAUUGUAUCACACACACACCUACUUCUUUUUGGAGUUCAGCCACUGCCAGUCUUUUACCCUCCGCUUUCUCUCUGCCUUUGGUUUUUCUCUCCCUUCUUUCCCUUCUCUCUUCUCUCAGCCAACUUGGCUUUGCAUAUGUGAGAAGUCGACAGUGAGCCUAAUUGGAGUGUGGGGCUGCAUCAAUGACAUUCACCAUUCUGUUUCUGCAACGCAACACACACUCAGGCGGAGCUGGCUAGCUAAUUGAAUAGUCUUUUAUUAAACUGCGUUAAUGUGAAGUAGAACUGGCUAGUGGUGAAUUGAAUUAGACCCCCCACUACAAUCAGCGACUACACACAUAAACACUCGCAGCUCGGAGAAGCGGCUGGCUGGAAAGAAACGCAGCAUGGAGGAAGGAGGAAGAGGCAAAGAACAAGAAGAGCCUGAGAGGGCCUGAAAUCUUCUCUUGCCCCAGCCGUAUGGGGCUAACAUGGAUUCCACAUUUGUUUGGCUCUUUAUUGGAAAGCUGUGCACAGGAAUUGAGGACAGCUUUUCCUUGAGAAGAAGGAUUUUUGCUGCCAUCAACAAUCACGCUGCCGGCUCCUGGCAUGGUGUGAUAUUGUGAUAUUAUGCCAGGAAGUGUUGCUACAACUGUCCUCUUGGGAAUGGAGCAACAAGUCUAAGAGUAUUUAGAGGUGAUGUUGAGUUUUAGGUGCAAUGAAAGUGUGGUUUGUUUUUCAAGAUGCAGGCACUCCAAGCUGUAGUCCUUUCUAAGCUUCUGAGUUCAUUGAUUUGAAUAAAUUGAAAUGGAAUUUCAAAAA